GUGCUCACUUCAGCAGAACAUAUAUUAAAUUGGAACGAUACAAGGAAGAUUAGCAUGAUCCCUGCUCAAGGAUGACAUGCAAAUUCGUGAAGCGUUCCAUAUUUUC